rnacentral:tRNA from 1 species
AGGCCUCGUGGCGGAGUGGUUACGCAGAGGACUGCAAAUCCUUGCACCCCGGUUCGAUUCCGGGCGAGGCCUCCAA